rnacentral:lncRNA from 1 species
CCUGGCUAUCCUGGAGACCAGGCUGACCAUGAAUUUAUAGAGAUCCUCCUGCCUCUGCCUCCUGAGUGCUGGGAUUAAAGGCGUGCAUCACCACUGCCCAGCCUACAUUUUUUUUAAUUCAAGGCACCUACUCUAUUCUGGCUUCUGUGAGCUCCAGGAACAUAUGUGGUGCACAGACAUAUAUGCAGAGCUCUCAUCUAAAAACUGAUGGAGUCAGAUGCAGAGAUCCACAACCAAGAACCAGGUCAAGCUCUAGGAAUCCAGUUGAUGAGAGGGAGGAGGGAACAUAUGAGCAAGGAGGUCAAGAUCAUGAUGGAGAAAUCUACAGAGACAGCUGAACCAAGCUUGUGGAAACUCAAGAACUCUAGACCUACAACUGGGGAGAAUCCAGAGGCCCAGAUGAGGCCCUCUGUAUGUGGGAGACAGCUGUGAAGCUUGGACUAUCAGAAGGACCCUGGCAGUAGGAACAAGAUACAAAUCUGGUACAUGAGCUACCUUGUUGGAGCCCAUUCCUUAUGGUGGGAUACCAUGCUCAGUCUGAAUGCAUGGGAGGAGGGGCCUGGCCCUGCCCCAACAUAUUGUGCCAGGACUGUGUUGACUCUUCAUGGGAGCCCUUACCCGUGAGGAGGAGUUGACAGGGUGGGCUAGAGGGGAGAUGGUGGGUGGGAGGAAUUGAGGGGGUGGGAGGGAGAAUUGUAGUUGGAAUGUAAAAUGAAAUAAGAAUUAAAAAUGGAAAAAAGGUACUAUAGUCUGUGAUGAAACCAAAUGUAAGGGUAUAGAGUGCCUUCCUGCCCUGUCCUUGUGCUUUUCUCAGGCAGUUUCUAGCACCUAGAGAUAUUUCUAAAGAGCUCUACUCAAAAUCAGAAAAGGAGCAGGGUGAUGGUGACUGCCUUUAAUCCCAGCACUUGGGAGGCAGAGGCAAGUGGAUCUCUGGAUGUUCGAGGCCAGCCUGGCCUACAGAGAGAGUUCCAGGAAAGCCAAGGCUACAC